rnacentral:misc_RNA from 1 species
UGAUGGUACCAGGGGGUAGCCUGGUGGUGUGUGGCUGCAUGAGGACUGUCUUCGCACCGCUGGGGAGCGGCGCCUCCGCUGCUGCCAGGAAUGUGCUCAGCCAGUGUAAUGUGGCACUCCCAUGCAUCUAAUUGCUCUGUGGAAUGGCAGAGAAUUGUGGGCUGAUAUUACUAUUCUAUUCCAAAUGUGCUGGUUUAUGUAAUUUUUCUCUUUGAGUUGUACGUAAUGUUAAUGUAUCUUGAAGAUGGAUCCCUUGUUGUAGAUCCUGUUCG